rnacentral:rRNA from 1 species
UACGUAGGGUGCGAGCGUUGUCCGGAAUUAUUGGGCGUAAAGGGCUCGUAGGCGGUCUGUUGCGUCGGGAGUGAAAACUCAGGGCUUAACCCUGAGCCUGCUUCCGAUACGGGCAGACUAGAGGUAUGCAGGGGAGAACGGAAUUCCUGGUGUAGCGGUGAAAUGCGCAGAUAUCAGGAAGAACACCAGUGGCGAAGGCGGAUCUCUGGACAGCUCCUGACGCUGAGGCGCGAAGGCUAGGGGAGCAAACGGG